rnacentral:lncRNA from 1 species
AGCAAGAUAGCAGAAGCGGGAAGAGAGCCGGCGGGAAGACACCUACCCUGGCCGGAAGACAGCUACCCUGGCUGGAAAACACGUACCCCUGAAGAUCUGAAGAUCGAGAAAGACGCCGUGCGGGUACUAUGUAGCAGUCAGGUCAAGGAGCAUCUGUAGCUGCUUGGAUCUACAUUAACCUCAUUUAUCUAUACCCUACCUAUGUGAGUCUUGGAAACUUGUCUCAUAUAAACAAUGAGCUAGCCUAAAAAAGGGGACUUUGACAAUUGCUUCAUCGGUCUUUGUCACUCUGGAAAUAUCAGCAUCUGCAUGUUGAAAAAGGUCUCAUUAUAUUAGCUUUCCAUAAGCUGUCACCUGAUUAUAAGACCUCUUUUGCACCUUCCCAGAACUUUCCUGCUAUGUUUAUCUGAGUUUUGUGGUAACAUACGAGACUUACCUUUGAAUGUAUAAAACUGGCUAGUUUUACAUGAUCUGAACUUGAGAAGCGGUUUCUUAGGUUUCAAGACAACAUGCUAAAUACAUAGGACCAUCUACUGGCAAAGGAUGAUAUAGUCCUAAGGACUGGUUUUGUUGGAACUUGUAAUAGCCCAAGUUAAAGAUCAUGAAGAUUGUGAAGCCCAAAAGUGUAUUAUUGAGGGAAUCCUGCUGCCAGAAUAUGCUUAUCACUUAAAUUGCAACAGAGUGGUCUUAGAUAGAAAAUACAAGAGCUGAGAAGAUACUACAAAACAAGUAAGUCAUUUAUAUGGAGUCACAACAUCUAACUGGCAUACAUUUGUUUAAUAUUGAUAUAGUAAAAUAUUUCAUGAGGGCUCUGACAAGGACUGUCUUGUUAAUCUCUGAAUCCCUAGCAUAGCAACUGGUACAUGGAAGUGUCAACAAGUAUUUACUGAAUCAGUGAAUGAAUAAUGACACAUUUUGUUUAUACCCUACAAAGAUUUGGUGAAGUCUGUAAAUGCAAUGAUUUGUGCCUACUUGGUAAGUACUAAUAAUAAAUCCAGCUGUUGACUUUUUGUCUGACUGAGGGCAUUCAUUUUCCUAAUUUUCAAUGGUCACAAGCAUCUUCGGACAGGGACCAAAUUUUAUUUAGUAAUAGAACUUAGCACAGUGCCUGGCA